rnacentral:tRNA from 1 species
UCAAGAAAUAGUUUAUUUAAAAAUAUUAAUUUUGGAGAUUAAAGAUGAAUUUGUGUUUUUUCUUGAU